UGCUCUGUCGUACCAAGAAGACA
rnacentral:miRNA from 1 species